rnacentral:rRNA from 1 species
GAUGAACGCUGGCGGCGUGCCUAAUACAUGCAAGUCGAACGAAACUUCUUUAUCACCGAGUGCUUGCACUCACCGAUAAAGAGUUGAGUGGCGAACGGGUGAGUAACACGUGGGCAACCUGCCCAAAAGAGGGGGAUAACACUUGGAAACAGGUGCUAAUACCGCAUAACCAUAGUUACCGCAUGGUAACUAUGUAAAAGGUGGCUAUACUACCGCUUUUGGAUGGGCCCGCGGCGCAUUAGCUAGUUGGUAGGGUAAAGGCUUACCAAGGCAAUGAUGCGUAGCCGAAUUGAGAGGUUGAUCGGCCACAUUGGGACUGAGACACGGCCCAAACUCCUACGGGAGGCAGCAGUAGGGAAUCUUCCACAAAGGGCGAAAGCCUGAUGGAGCAACGCCGCGUGGGUGAAGAAGGUCUUCGGAUCGUAAAACCCUGUUGUUAGAGAAGAAAGUGCGUGAGAGUAACUGUUCACGUUUCGACGGUAUCUAACCGGAAAGCCACGGCUAACUACGUG